rnacentral:rRNA from 1 species
GAUGAACGCUGGCGGCGUGCCUAACACAUGCCAGUCGAACGGAAAGGCCCCUUUGGUGGUCCUCGAGUGGCGAACGGGGGCGUAACACGUGAGUAACCUGCCCUUGACUUUGGGACAACUUCAGGAAAGUGGGGCUAAUACCGGAUAGGAAUCCUUGCUUCAUGGUGGGGGUUGGAAAGUUUCGGCGGUUUUUGCUGGACUGGCGGGUUAUCUGCUUGUUGGUGUGGUAGUGGGUUACCAAGGCUUUGGGGGGUAGCCCGCCUGCGGGGGCGACCGGCCACACUGGGUCUGAGGUGCGGCCCAAGCUGCUAAGGGUGGCAGCAGGGGGGAAUCUUGCACGAUGAGCGGCAGGCUGGUGCAGCAGCGCCGCGGGCGGGAUAACGGCGUUCGGGUUGUAGACCGCUUUCAGCAGGGGCGAAGCUUGUGGUGACGGUACCUGCAGAAGAAGCACCGGCUAACUACGUG